GAGACCUGCGUCUGGCACGUGGGCCACGCAGCGCAGAACAAACAAUGCCGGUCACACUGGGCGGCUUGUUUAGGCGUCUGCCGGUCGGUGGUGGCUACGCUGCUGCUGCUGGUGCGCGUCGCUGCCUUUAACCCAACGCGCUGUGCGGAGGCAGCGGCGAGGGUUGGUGGAUCACCGCUCAGGUGGCUGUGAGACUCCCUUCCUACCACGUGGGUGGGUGUCGAGGAGGAGCCCUACCCUGGCUCGCCCACGAGAAGGCGGCACAGCAAGUGGACUAAUCUCCAUCUGUUUCUGCUCGUACGGGGACAGAGCGUUGAUACCCCGUCGUGCAAGGCGUGGGUUAUCUCCGGGUGCUCGGCUUUCCUCCUCCCCGCGUGAAUAAUAAACACGACUCGUCGGCUCGUGGACAACGCGACGAGAGAUGUCUCAGACCGCGUGGUGGCGGUGGCUACGCUGCUGUCCGUGACUGCCUCUAAUCCUCCAGCACUGUGGCGGCAGCAGCCAGGGUUGGUGGAUCACCGCACAGAUGAGGCUCCCUUCCCGUGGGCAUCGAGGAGGGGCCGUACCCUGGCUCUGACAGUAGCAUGCAGUACAGGCAAUCUGUAUUUAUUUAUUUAUUUUAAAUGUAUCUUCUCUGUGAUGAUCACUUUCUUGUUACGUGUAAUUUUUCUCUCGUUAUUUAUCUGUUCCUCUUUUAGUUUUCUAAUUGCAAGUAGAGGGGGUUUGUUGCAUCACCCGUGUAAGGGACUUGCUAAUUGAUGUGCAGCGUUGUGGGAUUCAAUUGCAUGAAUGACGCUCUAUUAAAUGAAAUUAUUAUUA